AGUCGAACGAUGAAGCUGGAGCUUGCUCUGGUGGAUUAGUGGCGAACGGGUGAGUAACACGUGAGUAACCUGCCCUUGACUCUGGGAUAAGCGUUGGAAACGACGUCUAAUACCGGAUACGAGCUUCAGCCGCAUGGCUAGGAGCUGGAAAGAAUUUCGGUCAAGGAUGGACUCGCGGCCUAUCAGCUUGUUGGUGAGGUAAUGGCUCACCAAGGCGACGACGGGUAGCCGGCCUGAGAGGGUGACCGGCCACACUGGGACUGAGACACGGCCCAGACUCCUACGGGAGGCAGCAGUGGGGAAUAUUGCACAAUGGGCGCAAGCCUGAUGCAGCAACGCCGCGUGAGGGACGACGGCCUUCGGGUUGUAAACCUCUUUUAGCAGGGAAGAAGCGAAAGUGACGGUACCUGCAGAAAAAGCACCGGCUAACUACGUGCCAGCAGCCGCGGUAAUACGUAGGGUGCAAGCGUUGUCCGGAAUUAUUGGGCGUAAAGAGCUCGUAGGCGGUUUGUCGCGUCUGCUGUGAAAACGCGAGGCUCAACCUCGCGCCUGCAGUGGGUACGGGCAGACUAGAGUGCGGUAGGGGAGAUUGGAAUUCCUGGUGUAGCGGUGGAAUGCG
rnacentral:rRNA from 1 species